GAUUGAGGGGGAACCUGACAUGCGACGCCGCGUGAGCGAUGAAGGCCUUCGGGUUGUAAAGCUCUGUUUGCCGGGAAGAAAUACCGCUGGUGAAUAACCGGCGGGGAUGACGGUACCGGCAGAGGAAGCCACGGCUAACUCCGUGCCAGCAGCCGCGGUAAUACGGAGGUGGCAAGCGUUGUUCGGAUUUAUUGGGUGUAAAGGGCAUGUAGGCGNNUAU
rnacentral:rRNA from 1 species